CAAUGCGGACUGUCAUGCAUUUUUACUAUUACCAACAAGACAACGAAGUGAUACGUGUCAUGGAGACUAAAAACGGAUACUUUCCAAACACCAAAAGUUCCUACGCUGAGCGAUAUUGUUUACUACACUAUUAUUCAUACAAUCCAAGUCAUACGUUUAUUGUCAUUCAUACUCUUAUUUUUAACCGAAUAUCUUUUCAAAAGUGUCCAUUCUGUCAAUUCAGAGCUUGGAAAAAAAUUUGAAUAAUGUGCUUAAGGGGACUGACACUCAAGCCGCACAACAGGAUAACAAAACAACCACAUUUUCAAUUGACAAUCAUUGCUUUAAAUGGAUGUGGUCGAUAGAUUUGUAUAGGUGUAGCAGUGUGAUGUUGUUCCCCUAUAUUAUGCACCAAAUUGCACACAAGGACCAAUUCAAAUCGGCCAGGUCAAGAGGGGAUGUUAAUAAUUUGAUAAUAAUACUAAUAAUUCAGUGUAUUUUUUAAAAUUUAAUUACAGCUGCAUAGCUAAAGUGUACAAACACUUUGUUACAAUGUGGAUAAUAUAAAGAUAUUGUAUAGGCAUAUAUAAACAAUGUAUUUAACUUGGAAACCAAGGUUGGAUUAGUUGGUCUAAGCAACAUGCACCUGGAUAAUCGGGUCAUGAAUCUGGACGGGCUCCUACAUCCUCAUAUACACAUUAUGACAAAAUAAAGAGUUUAAUGUUUCACGAAAUAAAGACAUAGAUGCAUACCCAAUUAUACAGGUUCUACACAUUCCAUUUCUCCAUGGCAAUAUAAUGUAAACAUUCUAUUUUGUGCCAAACAUCCCUACAACUCAAUUCUAAGUGCAGCAUAUUGGAGGACUCCAGCCAUUGAUCAUUCGCGACUUUAAGUCAUUCCUGUUAUCUCUAGAGCAUCUCGUAUAUCUAUAGCGCUGCAUUUCUUCCCCAUCUUACCAUGGAUAGGGUUUGGUGCAUUCCGGAGUUCAGUUAUUGUCCCACAAAGGUAAUCUUAGGAGAAAUUCAUUUUAGCAUACCGUAAAUGCCUGUGCAUAAUGUGCAUAACAAAGCAUCAUUAUUUUCAUUAUCUUCAAAGGAUUUCUGUAGAAGCAGCCUUUAUUUUCAGACUCUGCAGGCCUGCUGGGAGGAAACAUAUUACAAUAAACAGAAGAAGCUCAUGGUCCACUAUCUGCUGCUCCAGAGUCAAGGCCAGGUCCCUCCCCAUGUCACCACGGAGCACAUGAGCAACUGGCUGGUGUCUCAGGGCAAAAAAUCUCUUAGGGAGAGGGUGUGGAAGGAAACCCUGGAGGAAGGAAACGACCUCACUCGGCUGG